UACGUAGGGGGCAAGCGUUAUCCGGAUUUACUGGGUGUAAAGGGAGCGUAGACGGCAGCACAAGUCUGGAGUGAAAUCCCGGGGCUUAACCCCGGAACUGCUUUGGAAACUGUGCGGCUGGAGUGCAGGAGGGGUAAGCGGAAUUCCUAGUGUAGCGGUGAAAUGCGUAGAUAUUAGGAGGAACACCGGUGGCGAAGGCGGCUUACUGGACUGUAACUGACGUUGAGGCUCGAAAGCGUGGGUAUCGAACA
rnacentral:rRNA from 1 species